rnacentral:lncRNA from 1 species
CACAAGCUCUGUACUACUAAUACGAUAGACAGGUUUUAAGAUAAGUUGUGUUCUAAGAAGCAAAUUGAUAGAGAACUCUAUCUCCGGGAGGGAGGUAGACCAGGUAGAUCCUCUAGAAAGAUUUCUGAGAAGUUACAAAAAGUAGGAAUGAUGUAUACAGCAGGAUCAAAAACCAUUUUACCGUUUAUUCAGAGAUAGAUAAUAGCAAAACUAAAUUAUAGAUUUUAUUUCAUUUUUGGUGAUCGCGAGGUUAC